rnacentral:rRNA from 1 species
AUUGAACGCUGGCGGCAGGCCUUACACAUGCAAGUCGAACGAGUGGCGGACGGGUGAGUAAUGUCUGGGAAACUGCCUGAUGGAGGGGGAUAACUACUGGAAACGGUAGCUAAUACCGCAUACCAUCGGAUGUGCCCAGAUGGGAUUAGCUAGUAGGGGGGGUAAAGGCUCACCUAGGCGACGAUCCCUAGCUGGUUUGAGAGGAUGACCAGCCACACUGGAGCUGAGACACUGUCCAGACUCCUCCGGGAGGCAGCAGUGGGGAAUAUUGCACAAUGGGGGCAAGCCUGAUGCAGCCAUACCGCGUGUAUGAAGAAGGCCUUCGGGUUGUAAAGUACUUUCGGCGGGGAGGCGUUACCCGCAGAAGAAGCACCGGCUAACUCCGUGCCAGCCGCCGCGGUAAUAC